GGUCUGUUAGGGGAGUUGGCCGUCCCUCCCUCCCUGUCACGGAGGAUAUCACGGGUUCGAAUCCCGUACAGACCG
rnacentral:tRNA from 1 species